ensembl:lncRNA
UGUAUGGGGGAGGGAGUCCAUCAUUGAGAGAAGUGAGAAGUUCCUGGUUUGUAAGACGAGCAAUAUUAUACGAUCAGACGGUCAAUAUGAAGACAGUAUGUGGCACUGUGGUCUGUUUCAUCUUUCUCACACUGCACGAUGGAAACACUGGUCAGGUCAAAAAAGGAAUUCCCACCUAUAGAGGAAUGGAAGGAGAAAACAUCAGAGUUGAAUGCAAAUUUUCUUACUCUGGAACCAAGAAGUUCUUCUGUAAGGGAAAAUGUGAAAAAGAAAACAUCCUAAUAGCAACAACAAAGAACUCCGCUAAAAAUGGCAGAUACAGCAUUCAGUAUGUAGAAAAAGGUUUUCUGUCAUCUGAUAUUCUGUAUGUGAGCAUCGCACAGCUGAAAAAGUCUGACAUGGGACCAUACAUGUGUUUUUCGAGUAAAACCUGGCUUGGUGAUCUGAGUCAUGAGUUUUAUAUUUUUGUCACAGAAGGCUCAAGAACAAAAACAGAAACAGCAACAACAACAACAAUACCAACAACAGAGAGUUCAGUCUUCAGUUCAGAAUGUGCUGGAGUUUCAUCAGUGUCCCCUGAAACCUCAAAACAGCCCGAGAGAUCGCCUGCAAGUUCAGAUUGACUUGUUACGGUUCGGGUACCAGGUACUAAAAUAGUACCUGCUCGGCCGGGUUUCCAAGAGAUCCGAACUUGGCAUCACUCGAUGAGUCAUGAUAGUCGCCUUGUUCACAAAAAUCAAAACCACCAUUUUUGAAACCCGAC